UGGACCAAGUGCCGCCUGUACUUUCAACGCUGUAGUCUCCCGGCAGCCCUGGGAAGGACAGUCUUACCCGGACGUCACAGCGGAGCUGCCCUUCCCUCCCUGCUGCCCCCAGGGAAUACUGCUGGUGUCCUCAGAUGCUGGCAGGAGGAACCCGCCAGCGCCUGAGAGCCUGGCCCGAACAAGGGCUGGAGGUGCUGGCGCAGACACAGAGGAUGUGGCCUCCAACCCUGGUAACAGACGGUUACCAGGGCGGCUUUGGGUGAGGAAAUUGAAAAAGGUCAGACUCCCUAGGAGCAGCGCCCUGGACUCCAGUCUGAUCACAAACCAGUGGUUCCCAAUUGAAGUCAGUUUUGCUCCUCAGGGAAUACUUAACAACAUCUGGAGACAUUUUUAAUUGUCCUGACCAAGAGGAGAAUGCUACUGGCAUCUAGUGGGCAGAGGCCAGGGAUACUGCUGAACAUCCCGCAGUGCACAGGACGCCCGCAACACAGAUUAUCCAGCCCCAAACGUCAAUAGUGCCAGGGUUAUGGAACCCUAAUGAAGACAGUUCUUGAAGGCAUAGACUGAAUCUUAUUUAUCUUUAUUUCCCUCAUGUCUCACAAGCAGAGUAUGAGUUCAGCAAAUAGGAAUUGAACAGAAAUCAGGAGGAGGUGCUGAUUGACAGGAAAAAAGAAAGAUUUAGUUUAGAGCUGAGAAUUCAGCUGGACAGCCAUAGGGGCUCUGGCAUGGAGACUGGAAGUCAGAAGACAAUUUGCAGCAAGACAUUUAGAGCGAUUUAUCCAGCCAUCAUAAUUUUAUUGAUUAACUAUUUUGUGUGAGGCACUGUACUGGAUGCUUUGGCAACAGAGAUAAGCAAGGCAACCCCUAUGA
rnacentral:lncRNA from 1 species